rnacentral:rRNA from 1 species
UACGUAGGUGGCAAGCGUUAUCCGGAAUUACUGGGUGUAAAGGGCGCGCAGGCGGCCCUGCAAGUCGGAUGUGAAAGAUCAAGGCUCAACCUUGACAGGCCAUUCGAAACUGUGGGACUUGAGUGUCAGAGGGGAAAGUGGAAUUCCUAGUGGAGCGGUAAAAUGCGCAGAUAUUAGGAGGAACACCGGUGGCGAAGGCGACUUUCUGGCUGACAACUGACGCUGAGGCGCGAAAGCGUGGGGAGCAAACAGGAUUAGAUACCCCGGUA